ensembl:lncRNA
CAGUUGGUGGGUAGGACUUGGCUUCUGAUGUCGGCUUAAGAACGCAUUCUUGCUAAUUGCCUUUAAUGGAGCACUGCUGGACGGCCUGACUCGAUCUCGCAGGGCAACGGACAGGAAAUCCAGUCAGCACGGUUAUGGUGCCAAGUGGGUGUGGUCGAUUGUGUCCCUUCCUGCUUCAGGGGAGGAAAUGGCACGGGAGAUUUGUCCUUGUACGAGCCUUUCACACGGCCAGGCAGAAAUGACUCAAUGUCCAUCCAUCACACACACUACCAUUCUGCAGUCACAUUGCUCGCAGGUCACUUGUGGUUACGUCAGGCUAAACAGUAAAAACCAAACCACAACGUCAAGCCCGUAGCUUCACCUUGCUGCCGCCAGAGUUUUUUUUUCUCGACCAGACAGAGAGAAGAAAAGAAGAAAGAAAAAGAGAAGAGGAUGUUUUGGGUUCCCGUGCGUCGUCCGGACCGGCUCCGCGGUUCUGGGCCAAACAUAAGUUCACAGCCCAUUCAUGUUGAGCUUGAGGUUUUUUUCCGACAGCAGCGCAGGGAAGGAAACACUACAAUGCUGUUCUGUACAACGCCGGGAGGUGAGAAGGGACCGCUACAUAAAGCACGUAGCCAGACCUGCCAGCGAUAUUCACAAUGGACUUUGUGUGGCUUUUGGACAAUAUCCUUCAUGCCCCGACAUGGUCUGUGAUACCGGGGGGGGGUUGGGGGGAACCAUUACCUUUCAGUUGAUAUUAAAGUGUGCUUCACUACCCCAUAAAGGCUCAAUGGAAUAACAUUAAAAAUCUGUUAUUCAGCAAUCAAUCAAAAUGAUCUGGUAUAACAGAUACCAGAUCAUUAUUGCAUUAGGAACAAUAAGCUUUAAUUUUAUCUUGAGCGGCUUUAUGGUUCUCAAAGGAAUUGGGUGUUGUUGUCUCCUAAAUUACUAUUGACUGAUAGGGGGCCUUAAGGGGGAACUUGAUUUCAGGCUAGCCUGAUGUUAUUGCUUGCAUUCCCUGGGCUGUAUUCACCAACUUUUGUAAAAAAAAAAAAAAAAAGAACACGUAGUGCAAAGCAUAUGUAAAAAAAAUAUAUAUAUAUAAAUGUUAAGAAAGAUUGAAUAUUUUGGACUCUCUGGACUGGAUGAAUAGCUUGUUUUAAAACACAGGAAUUGACAGGGUGUAUUGACAGGGACAAAGAUCAGUGAUGACAGGCCAUUCUGAAUCAAUCAAAUCAAAUAAUGCUCAGUUGUAUAUCAAGGAUCAAUCAAAGCCUGACAAUGUCAAUCGAGAAGAACGGGUAUAAUGGUCAGUUUACGUGGCCGAUUGCAUUUGGCUACAUUUCUCUCUCAUCAACCCCCUUACUUCGGUUUAAUAACGAAAAAUCAGUGCUCGCAACCUUUGCCCUGCCAUAAUCACAUUGUUAUUUCCACACGCCUCCGUAACCAAAAACAAAGCCUAAUAACAGUUACUCUUACUUAUGUAAAACGUUGCGAUUCAAGCCACUGAAAUAUAUUAAAAUCGCAAAACCACCAGAUUUCAGAACCGGGUUCCAAGAUGAGGUUUGGAUGAAGACUUUUUUUUUUUUUUAAAGCAACGAUUUCUGUAGUGGAACUCUUUUCACUGAAGCGUACUUUGAUUAUUAUGUCUGUUCGAUGGAGCGGCUAGUUCCCCAAGUCUCUGAGGUUUGUGGAGGAACAGUAUUUUUCAGCUGCACCACAGCGGUGAUGUUCCCGGUAAUCAAGCCUGGAGACCCCCGGAUGUCAGCGAGGGCCAACGACAGAUAGACAGAGUGGAAGUGAAGGAGUAGUGAAGUCGGGGCAACAGUUCAUCUGCUAACAGAUGGUAGAGCUCUUGAAGACUGGAACCUGGGCCGUGGGCCAAGUGAUGAUUUCGUAAAACCCCCAUAGUCUAUCGUUAUUUAGAAGCACCAGGGGAGAGGGGGUGGUGAAGGAUGGACGAGAUGGAGGGGGAUAGAUGGGACAGUGAGGCCCAUGUCUGAGAGUGGAUCUUCACGUGCUUGAGUUUAGGCUUCUCUGCAUCUAUUAGGUAAAAUAUCAG